rnacentral:rRNA from 1 species
CUACGCACUCCUACGGGAGGCAGCAGUGGGGAAUAUUUGCACAAUGGGCGCAAGCCUGAUGCAGCCAUGCCGCGUGUAUGAAGAAGGCCUUCGGGUUGUAAAGUACUUUCAGCAGUGAGGAAGGUGGGUAUGUUAAUAGCAUACUCAUUUGACGUUAGCUGCAGAAGAAGCACCGGCUAACUCCGUGCCAGCAGCCGCGGUAAUACGGAGGGUGCGAGCGUUAAUCGGAAUUACUGGGCGUAAAGCGCAUGCAGGUGGUUUGUUAAGUCAGAUGUGAAAGCCCGGGGCUCAACCUCGGAAUUGCAUUUGAAACUGGCAAACUAGAGUACUGUAGAGGGGGUAGAAUUUCAGGUGUAGCGGUGAAAUGCGUAGAGAUCUGAAGGAAUACCGGUGGCGAAGGCGGCCCCCUGGACAGAUACUGACACUCAGAUGCGAAAGCGUGGGGAGCAAACAGGAUUAGAUACCCUGGUAG